rnacentral:rRNA from 1 species
GACGAACGCUGGCGGCGUGCCUAAUACAUGCAAGUAGAACGCUGAAGAGAGGAGCUUGCUCUUCUUGGAUGAGUUGCGAACGGGUGAGUAACGCGUAGGUAACCUGCCUUGUAGCGGGGGAUAACUAUUGGAAACGAUAGCUAAUACCGCAUAACAAUGGAUGACACAUGUCAUUUAUUUGAAAGGGGCAAUUGCUCCACUACAAGAUGGACCUGCGUUGUAUUAGCUAGUAGGUGAGGUAAUGACUCACCUAGGCGACGAUACAUAGCCGACCUGAGAGGGUGAUCGGCCACACUGGGACUGAGACACGGCCCAGACUCCUACGGGAGGCAGCAGUAGGGAAUCUUCGGCAAUGGGGGCAACCCUGACCGAGCAACGCCGCGUGAGUGAAGAAGGUUGUCGGAUCGUAAAGCUCUGUUGUAAGUCAAGAACGGGUGUGAGAGUGGAAAGUUCACACUGUGACGGUAGCUUACCAGAAGGGGACGGCUAACUACGUG